UAAUAUAUUUUUUGAUACUAGCACUUAGUAUCAGAGAAUAUAUUAUUGAUAGAUUUCAAUGUUGACGUCUAUGUUAUAAAAUCUAUUAUAUCCAGAAUAAAAUAUAUCUAAAUUAAUUUUAGAAAAUUAUAACCGAGUAUACUGGUCUAUGGAGUGAAAUUUUGCAAAUUAGAGAAAUUAGGAAAUCCAAGUGGUUUUGUUUAUUUUAAAUACUUCUAAAUCUACUAUUUAGAUUAUUAGAAUGUGCCCUGCCCAUCAGAAGCCCACACUAUAGCCUCAAAUUUUAUUUUUAAUAUUCUAUCAUUUAAGCAUUGAUUAUCAAUUACCCUUCUCAUUAUAUUGAGUGUGAGGCAUGGUCGCCAAAUAAGAACAGAUAAAAACAGAAAAUAUUCUGCCACUGUUUUUCUUCCCAUGGCUUUAGCUAAUGACCUGCAUGGUAUUGAAUAAGUAGCUAACAACAUUUGGCCCUUAGGUCUCAGUGUUGUAAAAUGUGGGAUUUGGGCUGAAAUUUCUACGGAAGAGAAUGCUAAAAGAGCCAUUCCCAAUCCCGAAUAAAGAUGGCUUUGUGACACAACUGUCUUUUUGUUGUCUAAGUGCACUGAGUCCCACUUUAAAUUACCUUUCCUUAAAGUGUGAGUUGGCCAAAGCUCUCAAGCUGGGAAGGAGGCUGCUGGUAGAGUGCUUGAGUAGCAGGUACAACAUCCUGGGCUUGAUCCCCAGGCCUGGGGGGAUGGGUAGUAAGUUUCCAUUCUCAAUGUGAUUGGGGUUGAUUUGCUAUCCUGAAAUUAUUUUUUGCUAGUUACAUAGUUAUUUUGUAAAGUGAACAGGCAAGCUCACCUAAAUUAGAAUUGUAUGCCCACCUGUGAUCAAUUUUUCUGAAGCACAGCCCUUCUGUUACAGGACCUGGGUGAUGGAACACUGUCAUGCAUGUUGUGUUACGGCUGGUCGUUCUUUGUGUUUCUGUGUGAUCUGAAUCAGGAUGAAUGAAAUCGAGUGAAGGAGCACUGACUUUAGGUGCGCAUGCUCCCACCGAACGCUCUGCUCAGCCCUGAGUCUUGCUAGAUUGUCCUCCUGCCUCAGCAUCCAGGGGAGCUGGACGUACGUCAUAGGAGACUACCACUUCACCCUGCUGACAUGCUAACUGUACCUGGCUUUUAUUUAAAAGCUGGAGCAUCAUCCGGUGAGUUAGAACAGACUGUAGAGCUCACCUGUGGAGCUUUCAGAGGUGGGAAGCAUGGAAAUCCAGUGUGGGCAGAGCUGGAGUUAAUGAUGAAUGCCCGUUCUUCACAUGAAGCAAGCCACAAACCUCCACAUGAGCUCUGGGCAGAUCAGGCUGUGACAGAGACGCUUUCUGCCAAGAAAACAUAGGCCUACGUUUCCAAAUCUUGGUAUUCUGGUUUUGUGACACCAACUGGUUAUUCGACCUCAGUCAAGUUUCUUGCUGUCCUAAGCCUCAGUCGCUGGUACACUCAUCACUGUGAUGCCCAGGGAAGAUGACUUGGAAACCCAAGGACUUCCAUAAGAUCGUCCAACUUCUGACAAAACGGCUUUUUGUGAGGACAGGUAAUGUAGGCCCCCCGUAAAUACAACAGACCUGCAUGUCCCCUGGAAGGGAGGCUGUGGCGUUAGUGGGCAAGAACACCAGGAUGUACAAGGCCAUUCCAGGGCAUCUGGGAUGCAAGCUGAAUCUGGAGAAACUAUUGCCAUAUAUGCAGGGCAUGUGGGCUUCACCAAGGAGGACCUAACUGAGAUCAAGAGCUUGCUACUGGCCAAUCAGGUGCAUCUGGGGCUAAGACUAUUGCCUUGCGUGAAGUCACUGUGCCAAGCCAGAACACUGGCCUGGAGCCCAAGAAGACCUCCUUCUUCCAGGUUUUGAGCCUCACCACUGAACUCUUCAGAGGCACAUCUGACGUCCUGAUGAUGUGCAGAGAAUAAGGCUAUGGGUAAAACGGAGUCAGUGCAACCUCGUCACGAGAGAUGCUGAACGGUCUGCCCGCUUCUUUGGGCUGAUCGUCCAGCAGGUGUUUGGCAACAGAGGGCUUGAGAUCAUAGAGAAAACUGUAUUCUCAGUUUCUUUGAUGUGUGUAUCUGUCGGUCUGUCCGUCCAUACUACAUAGGCAAAGAGUACGUGUGGGUCCUGACUUUGCCUGUGGAGUCUGAGUCCACCUUCCCACUUACUGAAAAGCUCAAAGAUGUCCAUCGGCAUUUGUGGCUGCCACCACUGUGACAACUGGUGUCACUGCUGCCUUUGUUGCUGCUGCUGCUGCUCAGGCCCCAGCUAAGGUUGAAGCCAAGGAAGAGACAGAGGAAUCAGAUGAAAAUGUAGGUAGGAUUUAGAUUUGGUGUCUGUCUGAGUCCUCAAAACAACCCACUCUGCCAUUUUUAUUUAGGAAACAUGUAAACACCUCGCUUCCCUUUAAGAAAAAGAAAGGAAGAUGGAAAAAGUCAUCAGCUCAUGUACAGAGAAGCUGGCAAGUGAAUGCAAAUGAGGCAACUGUUGUGUAAAACCUAAAAUACACCCGUUGUGCAGAAAUCUUAAUCUUCAAUACUGUGUACGUGAGCCCGUCUUGACAGCCCAGUCUAUUUCAUUGUUUUUGGUUGAGUUGUUUUUUUGUCUGUUUGUUUGUUUUUGUUUUGUUUUGUUUUGUUUUUCGAGUUUGGUUGUUUUUUUUUGUGUACGAGUGCACACAUGUUGCUAUAUGCAUGCGGAUGUCAGAGGACAAUUUUGCUUCUCUCUUUCUACUAUGUGGCUCCCAGAGAUUGACCUCGGGCCUCCAGGCUUAUCAAAUGGGGCCUUUAACUUCUCUUGACAGCCCAUGACGGGUGUGCAUAGGAUGGGAUCAGACACCACGUACAAUGGAAUCAUUCAAAGUGUUUUCUAAAAUACUGAUUCCUAGGCUCUACCUCAACUAUGCUGAACUAGAACUUUCAACCUUUGGACUGUAGAAUGAAUCACCCCAGAGGAGUCUCUGCAUACACUGCGGCCCUAUAGAAUCUAUGCUUUGUGUACGGUGUCUUGGAGAGAUGAUUGAGUAAAACUCACACCCACGACACUGUUCAUCAAUUUCUCCAUUAGGUGAAAGGAAUCCAGAUAGGGACUAAUCUGGCCCUACCUUUAUUAUUCUGGAAACUCUCUGAGUCCUGGUACCUUCGCCCUUAAGAUGACACCCGCUUGAUGGGUGAGUUGAAUUAACUCAAUUCACUAAUGGAGUUUAAAGAUUCGAUUUAUGGAGAGCUCCUGUUCUGAUGUCUGACACAAACUGUAACUGGAGUGUGUGUCUGUUCCCUUCUCCCAUGCCUAGAAGAAGAGUUUUGUUUGCAUUCUCUUUGUUUCCUAUCCUUGCUGUUUAUACUUUGUGAAUAAACAUAAGCUAGUAAUGGAAGGAGAGCCUAA